UACGUAGGGGGCGAGCGUUGUCCGGAUUUAUUGGGCGUAAAGAGCGUGUAGGCGGUUCGGUAAGUCUGUCGUGAAAUCCUGAGGCUCAACCUCGGGCGUGCGAUGGAUACUGCCGGGCUAGAGGAUGGUAGAGGCGAGUGGAAUUCCCGGUGUAGCGGUGAAAUGCGCAGAUAUCAGGAGGAACACCGGUGGCGAAGGCGCUCAUCUGGCCCAAUACUGACGCUGAGGCGCGAAAGCUAGGGGAGCAAACGGG
rnacentral:rRNA from 1 species